UGGGGAAUAUUGCACAAUGGGGGAAACCCUGAUGCAGCGACGCCGCGUGAACGAAGAAGGUAUUCGUAUCGUAAAGUUCUGUCCUAUGGGAAGAUAAUGACAGUACCAUAGAAGAAAGCUCCGGCUAAAUACGUGCCAGCAGCCGCGGUAAUACGUAUGGAGCGAGCGUUGUCCGGAAUUAUUGGGCGUAAAGGGUACGCAGGCGGUUUAAUAAGUCGAAUGUUAAAGAUCGGGGCUCAACCCCGCAAAGCAUUGGAAACUGAUAAACUUGAGUAGUGGAGAGGAAAGUGGAAUUCCUAGUGUAGUGGUGAAAUACGUAGAUAUUAGGAGGAAUACCAGUAGCGAAGGCGACUUUCUGGACACAAACUGACGCUGAGGUACGAAAGCGUGGGGAGCACACAGG
rnacentral:rRNA from 1 species